rfam:Schistosoma margrebowiei strain Zambia genome assembly, scaffold: SMRZ_contig0004169
AUCCAGCUGACGAGUCCCAAAUAGGACGAAACGCUCAUCAAACUGGAU